rnacentral:rRNA from 1 species
CACGUAGGGCGCGAGCGUUGUCCGGAAUUAUUGGGCGUAAAGAGCUUGUAGGUGGUUUGUCGCGUCUGCUGUGAAAACCCGAGGCUCAACCUCGGGCCUGCAGUGGGUACGGGCAGACUAGAGUGCGGUAGGGGAGAUUGGAAUUCCUGGUGUAGCGGUGGAAUGCGCAGAUAUCAGGAGGAACACCAAUGGCGAAGGCAGAUCUCUGGGCCGUAACUGACGCUGAGGAGCGAAAGCAUGGGGAGCGAACAGG